rnacentral:rRNA from 1 species
CGGGUAGAGUAAUGCGUGACCAACCUGCCCCAUGCUCCAGAAUAGCUCUUGGAAACGGGUGGUAAUGCUGGAUGCUCCAACUUGACGCAUGUCUUGUUGGGAAAGUGUUUAGUGGCAUGGGAUGGGGUCGCGUCCUAUCAGCUUGUAGGCGGGGUAAUGGCCCACCUAGGCUUCGACGGGUAGCCGGCCUGAGAGGGCGGACGGCCACAUUGGGACUGAGAUACGGCCCAGACUCCUACGGGAGGCAGCAGUU